rnacentral:rRNA from 1 species
UACGCAGGGGGCUAGCGUUGUCCGGAUUUAUUGGGCGUAAAGAGCGUGUAGGCGGCCAGGUAGGUCUGCUGUGAAAACUCGAGGCUUAACCUCGAGAUGUCGGCGGAAACCAUCUGGCUAGAGUCCGGAAGAGGAGAGUGGAAUUCCUGGUGUAGCGGUGAAAUGCGCAGAUAUCAGGAAGAACACCCGUGGCGAAGGCGGCUCUCUGGGACGGUACUGACGCUGAGACGCGAAAGCGUGGGGAGCGAACAGG